rnacentral:rRNA from 1 species
UACCGGCGGCUCGAGCGGUGGCCGAAAUUAUUGUGCCUAAAGGGUCCGUAGGCGGCUUCGCAAGUCCCCUGGGAAAUCCAGCGGCUUAACCGUUGGGCGCUCAUGGGAUAUUAGGAGGCUUGGGACUGGGGGAGGCGAGAGGUACUCGAGGGGUAGGGGUGAAAUCCUGUAAACCUUCGGGGACCACCGGUGGCGAAGGCGUCUCGCCAGAACAGGUCCGACGGUGAGGGACGAAAGCUAGGGGCACGAACCGG